UCCGGACUUAUAGGUGGCUGUUAAUGGCCACGUGGGUGCUGGAAAUCAAACCAGGAUGUUUUGGAAGCACAGCCAAUGUCCUUAACCUCUGAGCCACCUCCCCAGAUCAUAAAGGGGCUGGAGAGAUGGCUCACCACUUAAGAGCUACUGAUUGCUCUUCCAGAGGUCCUGAGUUCAAUUCCGAGAAACCACUUGAUGGCUCACAACCACCUGUAAUGGGAUCCAGUGCCCUCUUCUGGUGUGUCUGAAGACAGCUACAGUAUAUUCAUAUA
rnacentral:lncRNA from 1 species